rnacentral:lncRNA from 1 species
GGCGGCCUCGCCUCACGGCCUUCCCGUGCUACCCCCGUGCCCGGGAGAUGCCCGCACGUCUCCCCGGGCCCGCCUGAUGCCCAAGAGACGACCCCCGGCCCGCCCCGCCUCUCGCUGAGGCAGUACCCCGGCCGAGCCGCCAGAUGUCAGCACGAGGCUUUGUGCCUCGCUCCGCUCUCAGUGACUGCUCCAGUCGCCAAAUAGCACGAAGCUUUCCCGUACAAUCCCAGGCCCUGCUUCAGCCCAUCCGCCUCUCCCGCUCAGAAGACUUUUUUGGAAGUAUAUGAUGAGCAACCAUUGAGAUUGGAUGGAAAGCAUCAGCAGCACCAGGAAACUCUUGGCAUAUGGAUAGUCUGUAAGUACACCUCAGUACAAAGUAAAAGUGGGUUAAGUAUUUAGUCAUUGGUGUACUCUACGAACAUAUUAUGGGUGUAUUGCACAGUAGCAAAGCCUAUUUUUUCUCUAAAAAAAAAAAACCACAGAGCUCAACAACACAGAAGAGUAAUGACCUCACCUUUCAGGUUGCAGUCCUACAAUUACUAAGCAAAGCAAACCCAAGGAUAGAAGCUGAGGUCAUCAGGCAAGCUCAUGACAGUAAAGUAAGGAUGAACCAAGAAAUCAUUUUACAGUUUAGAUGUUGAAAUUAGAAGGUAAUAUAUAGCUGAAGUAUAAAAUAAUGCCUCAGAUUAACAAAUAAGGCUCUUGUGUCAGUGGGCAGAGGGUGUGUGCAGGGUGGGGGGUGGAGGCCCCAGGUGAGGAUGGUCAGGGCCAUUCAGGUUUAUCAGUUCUUAAUCAGGUGUUAAUCAGACCCCUCUGGGCCCUGAUAGGGUAUGUAAAGGGACCUGAGGACUCCUGCUGUGUGUGUGAAUGAGCUGGGUAGUUUGUGACUGCAGAAAGGAAACAGCUGUAAUGGUGAUGGCCUUAGGGAAAGGUGUGUCCUCUUCCUUUCCUGGUGCUGUUUCAGUUAUAGGGUAUGAGAGGUUAUAAGCAACAGCUCCAUUACAUGUCUUGGAUGUGGAUGAUCUGGGUAGAAUUGUAAAAAUAUAGAGGGAAGCAGCUGCAGGGAUGAUAACUGUGGGGGGGGAAAGGUGGGUCCUCUUCCUUUUAUGUUCUGGAAAUUAGAAAUACUUAUACCUGCUUUGCAAGCUGUGAUCUUCCUUGAUUUGCAUGAGGAAACACAAAGACUGGGGAUUUAGGUUAAACUAUGGUUGAGGGGUUUUUACCUUCCUUGGUUGCUAAACGAUUUGGAAGGUAGAUGUUUUGAAGUCGUUUUUCUUGUUUGUUUUUUAUUUAAAGGAAUUGCUUCUGCAUGGGAUCCAGUGUGGGGAAUGCUCUGAAUCACUGUAACAGAGGUAUAAACACGGGACUUACAGGAAUAUGCCUGUAUUCAGAUAACAGAUCUGAAUGGUUUUGUUCCUAGUGCGGCCAGGGGAAAACUCCUACUGGUUUCUGCAUUGCUCUGCUUUGCAUUGUGUAAAUUAGGUAAUGGACAGAUAAAUAAUCGGUUUUCUAAGUGUUAUUUUGAACUGUUCUUUUGAGGCUGGAACCUGCCAAGCCUUCCCACAUCAUGCUGUAGCAUAAAGGGCUCUUAAUGCUCCCAUCGUCGUUAAUUACAUUAGUAAUUAAGGACGAAUGGAGCUGCAGGCUCUGCUGUUUUGGGCCCUGCACAAACAAAGCAGUAAUGUAAGUGGCAGUCCCUGUCUUGGAGAGCUUCAGACUAAAUGACAAAGAUGGGUGGAAAAAAUCUACCAGAAAUAUCUGGAAUGCAGUUUACUUUUUCUCUUGAGCCCCAUCCACGUGAAUCUUAAUGAUUUAUUCACGGGUUUUGAUAUUGUUGAUUCUGAUGUGCCAUCCUAAUACAGAACUUGCAUUUCUGGCCUGUACCUUUCAAUAACCAGUUAUGUGUUUUUUGUCUUUCAGCGGGGACAGGUUUCCCUGCCCGUGCUGGUGUAACAGGUUUGCCUUGUUCCCCUCCCAGGUCUUUGUGCAAAAGGAAAUUCCACUGCAAAUUUGCCUCAGAUGAUAGCAGUGCUGCUUUGUGCUUGGACUCUGUGCAGUCUUUUUGUUCAGCUGUUCAUGGAUUAAGGUUGAUAUCCAGAUGCCAUCCAGUGAAAGGGGAAGUGCAUGAAUCCAGGGGAGGCAAUGCAUGCAGCAGCUGCGCAGCUAUCAGAUCCCAGCCCUCUGCGAGCAGAAUCUGUCCUCCUCAGGGGAGUAAAUUUGCUCCCCCCACGUAAGUCUUUCAUGAACAGAUGCAGCAAUAAACACAAAACAGGAAUCUGAAGGUCUUUUCACGUUUCUUGUAGCUGAAAAGCAGAAGUACCAAAUCACAUUAGGUGACGCAGCUCAAAUAAACGCUGUUGCAAAGGAAGAAGAGCACAAAAUCAAUCUUAUUUCUCCAGCCGGGAAA